rnacentral:rRNA from 1 species
CGGCAGCCGCGGUAAUACCAGCGCCACAAGUGGCAAUCGCGUUUAUUGGGCCUAAAGCGUCCGUAGCCUGUUUGUUAAAUCUUCUGUGAAAUCGCUCAGCUUAACUGAUCGGCGUGCAGAAGAGACUGGCAGACUUGGGACCAGGAGGGGUUAGGAGUAUUCCAGGGGGAGCGGUAAAAUGCUAUAAUCCUUGGAGGACUACCAGUGGCGAAGGCGCCUAACCAGAAUGGAUUCGACGGUGAGGGACGAAAGCCAGGGGAGCAAUCCGGAUUAGAUACCCGAGUAGUCCUGGCUGUAAACUCUGCGAGCUAGGUGUUGCAUAUUCUACAUGGAUAUGCAGUGUCGGAGCGAAGGUGUUAAGCUCGCCGCCUGGGAAGUAUGGUCGCAAGACUGAAACUUAAAGGAAUUGGCGGGGGAGCACCACAAGGGGUGCGGCGUGCGGUUUAAUUGAAUUCAACGCCGGAAAUCUCACCAGAUGCGACGGCAGGAUGAAGGUCAGGCUGAAGACCUUACUUGACAAGCCGAGAGGGGGUGCAUGGCCGUCGUCAGCUCGUUCCGUAAGGUGUCCUGUUAAAAAAUCCGCAGGACUUUUUUAUGCAAAAACUUGCGGUUUUUGCAGUGAGUCAGGCAACGAGCGAGACCUGUACCCACAAUUGCUAACGACUCUUUGCGAGGAUCGAGCACAAUGUGGGAACUGCCUUGGAAACAAGGAGGAAGGUGCAGGCUACGGUAGGUCUGUAUGCCCCGAAUCAUCUGGGCUACACGCGCGCAACAACGGUAGGGACAAAGGGACACAACUCCGAAAGGAGAAGUUAAUCCUCUAAACCCUAUCUAAGUUCAGAUUGAGGGCUGUAACUCGCCCUCAUGACGCUGGAAUCCCUAGUAAUCGGACGUCAACAUCGUCCGGUGAAUAUGUCCCUGCUCCUUGCACAC